CACCAACUUCCACAGACUCCAGUCUGUCUCUCCUGCUCCAGGUCACUUAGAAGCUUGUGGCGCAUCCCUCGGUACCUCUCUCUGCCUGCGCACCGUAAGCUCCCAGACUGCAGGGCCAUACCUGUCCCCUCCUGGUCUCCCCAGCACCCUGCAGACUAGUGGCCCUUCAGACACCUUGCACCCCAGUGGAGGGUGCGGAGGAUCCUCUGCAAAGAUACCAGGCACCGGGAACACUGCUGUAAUAAAUCUUUGUGUAAUUUUA